rnacentral:sRNA from 1 species
UAUUCUGCCCUACGGGGAAGGAUGAGAAGCUUCGACCAAGGUUCGACUCGAGCGCCAGCGAGAGAACGUUGCCGCAGGCAAUGGCCCGAAGGGCGAGGAGCGAUAGCGACGAGUUAUCCUUCCCCCUCUAUUC